rnacentral:lncRNA from 1 species
AAAACAACUCCCAAAAAAUUGGUUCCUCUAAAAGGUUGCAUCACUACGAGUAAGCUCGUACUUAUAUUCUUAUUAACAUGGCAUAUGCUGCUUGUGAGGGAAUAUCUUGACGUGUCUUUACACGACGGACCAUGCGUUCACCCAUAAGAUUUUUUCUACUUAUCAGUUCUCUAAUUGUUGUUUCUUAUAGAUAAUGUUAUUUAAUUGUUAAGAACGUAAUGAUUUAUAAAUAUUACUUUUAAGUG